rnacentral:rRNA from 1 species
UGGGGAAUAUUACACAAUGGGCGAAGGCCUGAUGCAGCAACGCCGCGUGAGCGAUGAAGGCCUUCGGGUCGUAAAGCUCUGUCCUCAAGGAAGAUAAUGACGGUACUUGAGGAGGAAGCCCCGGCUAACUACGUGCCAGCAGCCGCGGUAAUACGUAGGGGGCUAGCGUUAUCCGGAUUUACUGGGCGUAAAGGGUGCGUAGGCGGUCUUUUAAGUCAGGAGUGAAAGGCUACGGCUCAACCGUAGUAAGCUCUUGAAACUGGAGGACUUGAGUGCAGGAGAGGAGAGUGGAAUUCCUAGUGUAGCGGUGAAAUGCGUAGAGAUUAGGAAGAACACCAGUGGCGAAGGCGAUUCUCUGGACUGUAACUGACGCUGAGGCUCGAAAGCGUGGGGAGCAAACA